rnacentral:rRNA from 1 species
GACGGACCCCGCACAAGCGGUGGAUCAUGUUGUUUAAUUCGAUGAUACGCGAAGAACCUUACCAGGUCUUGACAUCCCCCGCGAUGCUUUAGAGAUAAAGCGGAGGUAUUCGGGGAGACAGGUGGUGCAUGGUUGUCGUCAGCUCGUGUCGUGAGAUGUUGGGUUAAGUCCCGCAACGAGCGCAACCCCUAUUGCUAGUUACCAUCAUUAAGUUGGGGACUCUAGCGAGACUGCCAGUGAUAAACUGGAGGAAGGUGGGGAUGACGUCAAAUCAUCAUGCCCCUUAUGACCUGGGCUACAAACGUGAUACAAUGGCUGGAACAAAGGGAUGCGAAGCAGUGAUGUGGAGCGAAACCCAUAAAAACAGUCUCAGUUCGGAUUGAAGUCUGCAACUCGACUUCAUGAAGUCGGAAUCGCUAGUAAUCGCGGAUCAGAACGCCGCGGUGAAUACGUUCCCGGGCCUU